AACGUAGGAGGCGAGCGUUAUCCGGAUUUACUGGGUGUAAAGCGCGUGCAGGCGGUUGGCUAAGUUGGGUGUGAAAGCUCCCGGCUCAACUGGGAGAGGUCACUCAAGACUGGCCGACUGGAGAGCAGGAAGGGAAGGUGGAAUUCCGGGUGUAGUGGUGAAAUGUGUAGAUAUCCGGAGGAACACCAGUGGCGAAAGCGGCCUUCUGGACUGCAUCUGACGAUCAGACGCGAAAGCUAGGGGAG
rnacentral:rRNA from 1 species